rnacentral:misc_RNA from 1 species
UGAGAACGCAACACCAUGUGAUCACUUAUGGGCUUGAUUGCUGAGUUUUGAAAGUUAAAAGGUCUAAUUGGACCCAAAAAAUAUAUAGGGUGAGCCUUGACCUAUAAUUAAGGGGCAAAUUUUUGCCUUUUUCAAAAGAAAAACUCUUUGUUUAGUGAGCUAAAAAAGUAUUUUCCUUUAUUAGUCUGCUGUUAAUGUCAAUGAAAAUG